rnacentral:rRNA from 1 species
UACGUAGGGUGCGAGCGUUGUCCGGAAUCAUUGGGCGUAAAGCGCACGUAGGCGGUCUGUUAUGUCGGAUGUGAAAGCCCUUGGCUCAACUGAGGAAGUGCAUCCGAAACUGGCAGGCUAGAGUACUAAAGAGGAUCGCGGAAUUCCCGGUGUAGAGGUGAAAUUCGUAGAUAUCGGGAGGAACACCGGUGGCGAAGGCGGCGAUCUGGGUAGAUACUGACGCUGAGGUGCGAAAGCGUGGGGAGCAAACAGG